rnacentral:tRNA from 1 species
UAAAUUUUAGUUUAAGAAAAAUUUAAUAAUUACAAUAUUAAGAUAUUAUAUAUAAUAUAAAUUUAU